UACGGAGGGUCCAAGCGUUAUCCGGAAUCAUUGGGUUUAAAGGGUCCGUAGGCGGUUUUGUAAGUCAGUGGUGAAAGCCCAUCGCUCAACGGUGGAACGGCCAUUGAUACUGCAAGACUUGAAUUAUUAGGAAGUAACUAGAAUAUGUAGUGUAGCGGUGAAAUGCUUAGAUAUUACAUGGAAUACCAAUUGCGAAGGCAGGUUACUACUAAUUGAUUGACGCUGAUGGGCGAAAGCGUGGGGAGCGAACAGG
rnacentral:rRNA from 1 species